rnacentral:rRNA from 1 species
GUACACUCCUGCGGGAGGCAGCAGUGGGGAAUUUUGGACAAUGGGCGAAAGCCUGAUCCAGCCAUGCCGCGUGCAGGAUGAAGGCCUUCGGGUUGUAAACUGCUUUUGUACGGAACGAAACGGCCUUUUCUAAUAAAGAGGGCUAAUGACGGUACCGUAAGAAUAAGCACCGGCUAACUACGUGCCAGCAGCCGCGGUAAUACGUAGGGUGCAAGCGUUAAUCGGAAUUACUGGGCGUAAAGCGUGCGCAGGCGGUUAUGUAAGACAGUUGUGAAAUCCCCGGGCUCAACCUGGGAACUGCAUCUGUGACUGCAUAGCUAGAGUACGGUAGAGGGGGAUGGAAUUCCGCGUGUAGCAGUGAAAUGCGUAGAUAUGCGGAGGAACACCGAUGGCGAAGGCAAUCCCCUGGACCUGUACUGACGCUCAUGCACGAAAGCGUGGGGAGCAAACAGGAUUAGAAACCCGGGUAGUCCCAUGA